AUUGAACGCUGGCGGCAGGCCUAACACAUGCAAGUCGAGCGGAGCGGCGGACGGGUGAGUAAUGCCUAGGAAUCUGCCUGGUAGUGGGGGCUAACGUCCGGAAACGGGCGCUAAUCCCGCAUACUAUCAGAUGAGCCUAGGUCGGAUUAGCUAGUUGGUGGGUUAAAGGCCUACCAAGGCGACGAUCCGUAACUGGUCUGAGAGGAUGAUCAGUCAAACUGGAACUGAGACCCGGUCCAGACUCCAACGGGAGGCAGCAGGGGGGAAUAUUGGAAAAGGGUCGAAAGCCUGAUCCAGCCAGGCGGGGUGGGUGAAGAAGGUCUUCGGAUUGUAAAGCACGUUAAGUUGGGAGGCGUUACCAACAGAAUAAGCACCGGCUAACUUCGUGCCAGCAGCCGCGGUAAUAC
rnacentral:rRNA from 1 species